rnacentral:rRNA from 1 species
AACAAGGUUUCCGUAGGUGAACCUGCGGAAGGAUCAUUAACAUAAUAUUCUUACACACUGUUUUUUUACAACAAAAAAAAUCUAUCUAAAAACAAUUCUUUACAAGAAAUUCUUAAAACUUUCAACAACGGAUCUCUUGGUUCUCGCAUCGAUGAAGAACGCAGCGAAAUGCGAUACGUAAUACGAAUCGCAGCUCUCGGAAUCAUCGAAUCUUUGAACGCACAUUGCACCAUUGGGUAUUCCCAAUGGUAUGCUUGUUUGAGCGAAUACUUCCCUAAUCCUCACGGAUUGUAUUGUGUUUGCACGAAAAUAAUGACGACAGUACUCUACAAAACGGUACCGUCAGUACGCUCAUUUUUUUUUCCUCAAAUCAAGUAGGACUACCCGCUGAACUUAAGCAUAUCAAUAAGCGGAGGA